rnacentral:lncRNA from 1 species
UUUUUUUUUGUUUUAAAUGUAGUUAAAUCCGCCGUGUUUGUACGAAAUUCGUCAUGUUUGUACGAAAUCCAGCUGUGUUUGCAUGAAUUUCAUCCGGUUUGUUGAAAAACAGUUUCAAAUGUUUGCGGCUAGCGUUGGAUGUCCACCUCCCGCGUCCAUGUUUGCGGACUGGCCCCCCUUUAUCCGCGGACGAAUGCCAGAGGUUUUUUACGGGUUGUCGUUGCAGAUGCCCUAGAAAGCAAAAUCCCUUGCGAACGCGGUGAUGAUCAACAGCGAUACAAAUUUCAUCAGUGAGUCCAGGACAGGAGGAUGGGGAUGUAUUGGCCGGGAUACAGAUGGUGAAGUCAUAUUUGCAGCGGCGGGUAAUUUUUCAGGCAUCUCUGAAGCAUUAUCGAAAAAUGCUUUCGCUCCGCUUUAUAUAUAAAUCUAUAAAGCAACGAUCAACAACAAACCGACAUAAACACGCCUCAUCACAACACACGCAAACCCAAGGCAGGAAACAUAGGCGCUGAACCCAACAACACCACCCCUAGCACUACAAGAGCAACCAGGAGCUUCAGUCGUGAACACGCCACCGUGAAAAGAUGAAACCGCAUACGAUGAACUGUGGGCUCCAAAGGAAGGUUACGGUAUCGGUGUUGGGUAACGUAGUAAUUUCAAAAAAAUUCCUACGCACACGCAAGAUCAUGGUGAUGCAUAGCAACGAGAGGGGAGAGUGUUGUCCAUGUACCCUCGUAGACCGACAGCAGAAGCGUUAUCACAACGCGGUUGAUGUAGUCGUACGUCUUCACGAUCCGACCGAUCAAGUACCGAACGCACGGCACCUCCGAAGUUCUACACACGUUCAGCUCGAUGACGUCCCUCGAACUCCGAUCCAGCCGAGUGUUGAGGGAGAGUUUCGUCAGCACGACGGCGUGGUGACGAUGAUGAUGUUCCACCGACGCAGGGCUUCGCCUAAGCUCCGCAACGGUAUUAUCAAGGUGUAAUAUGGUGGAGGGGGGCACCGCACACGGCUAAAAUAUCGUAUAUCAAGUGUGUGUCCAUGGGGUGCCCCCUGCCCCCGUAUAUAAAGGAGCAAGGGAGGAGGAGGCCGGCCCUAGGAGGGGGCGCGCCAAGUGUGGAGUCCUACUAGGACUCCCUAGUCCUAGUAGGAUUCCACCUCCCAUAUGGAAUAGGAAAAGAGGAAGGGAAAAGGAGAAGGAAGGAAGGGGGCGCCCCCCUUCCCUAGUCCAAUUCGGACCAGACCAAGGGGAGGGGUGCGGCCACCCUUGAGGCCCUUUUCCUUCUUUCCCGUAUGGCCCAAUAAGGCCCAAUACGUAUUCCCGUAACUCUCCGAUACUCCGAAAAAUACCCGAAUCACUCAGAACCUUUCCGAAGUCCGAAUAUAGUUGUCCAAUAUAUCGAUCUUUACGUCUCGGCCAUUUCGAGACUCCUCGUCAUGUCCCCGAUCUCAUCCGGGACUCCGAACUCCUUCGGUACAUCAAAACUCAAUAAAACUGUCAUCGUAACUUUAAGCGUGCGGACCCUUUGGGUUCGAGAACUAUGUACACAUGACCGAGACACCUCUCCGGUCAAUAACCAAUAGCGGGACCUGGAUGCCCAUAUUGGCUCCCACAUAUUCUACGAAGAUCUUUAUCGGUCAGACCGCAUAACAACAUACGUUGUUCCCUUUGUCAUCGGUAUGUUACUUGCCCGAGAUUCGAUCGUCGGUAUCUCGAUACCUAGUUCAAUCUCGUUACCGGCAAGUCUCUUUACUCGUUCCAUAAUACAUCAUCCCGCAACUAACUCAUUAGUCACAAUGCUUGCAAGGCUUAUAGUGAUGUGCAUUACCGAGUGGGCCCAGAGAUACCUCUCCGACAAUCGGAGUGACAAAUCCUAAUCUCGAAAUACGCCAACCCAACAAGUACCUUUGGAGACACCUGUAGAGCACCUUUAUAAUCACCCAGUUACGUUGUGACGUUUGGUAGCACACAAAGUGUUCCUCCGGUAAACGGGAGUUGCAUAAUCUCAUAGUCAUAGGAACAUGUAUAAGUCAUGAAGAAAGCAAUAGCAACAUACUAAACGAUCGGGUGCUAAGCUAACGGAAUGGGUCAAGUCAAUCACGUCAUUCUCCUAAUGAGGUGAUCUCGUUAAUCAAAUGACAACUCAUGUCUAUGGCUAGGAAACAUAACCAUCUUUGAUUAACGAGCUAGUCUGGUAGAGGCAUACUAGUGACACUCUUGUUUGUCUAUGUAUUCACACAUGUAUUAUGUUUCCGGUUAAUACAAUUCUAGCAUGAAUAAUAAACAUUUAUCAUGAUAUAAGGAAAUAUAUAAUACUUUAUUAUUGCCUCUAGGGCAUAUUUCCUUCAGUCUCCCACUUGCACUAGAGUCAAUAAUCUAGUUCACAUCGCCAUGUGAUUUAACAUCAAUAAUUCACAUCACCAUGUGAUUAACACCCAUAGUUCACAUCUCUAUGUGACCUACACUCAAAGGGUUUACUAGAGUCAAUAAUCUAGUUCACAUCGCUAUGUGAUUAACACCCAAAGAGUACUAAGGUGUGAUCAUGUUUUGAUUGUGAGAUAAUUUUAGUCAACGGGUCUGUCACAUUCAGAUCCGUAAGUAUUUUGCAAAUUUCUAUGUCUACAAUGCUCUGCACGGAGCUACUCUAGCUAAUUGCUCCCACUUUCAAUAUGUAUCUAGACCGAGACUUAGAGUCAUCUAGAUUUAGUGUCAAAACUUGCAUCGACGUAACCCUUUACGACGAACCUUUUGUCACUUCCAUAAUCGAGAAACAUAUCCUUAUUCCACUAAGGAUAAUUUUGACCGCUGUCCAGUGAUCUACUCCUAGAUCACUAUUGUACUCCCUUGCCAAAAUCAGUGUAGGGUAUACAAUAGAUCUGGUACACAGCAUGGCAUACUUUGUAGAACCUAUGGCCAAGGCAUAGGGAAUGACUUUCAUUCUCUUUCUAUCUUCUGCCGUGGUUGGGCUUUGAGUCUUACUCAAUUUCACACCUUGUAACACAGGCAAGAACUCUUUCUUUGACUGUCCUAUUUUGAACUACUUCAAAAUCUUGUUAAGGUAUGUACUCAUUGAAAAAACUUUAUCAAGCGUCUUGAUCUAUCUCUAUAGAUCUUGAUGCUCAAUAUGUAAGCAGCUUCACCGAGGUCUUUCUUUGAAAAACUCCUUUCAAACACUCCUUUAUGCUUUGCAGAAUAAUCUUACAUUAUUUCUGGUCAACAAUAUGUCAUUCACAUAUACUUAUCAGAAAUGCUGUAGUGCUCCCACUCACUUUGUUGUAAAUACAGGCUUCAUCGCAAGUCUGUAUAAAACUAUAUCCUUUGACCAACUUAUCAAAGCAUAUAUUCCAACUCCGAGAUGCUUGCACCAGUCCAUAGAUGGAUCGCUGGAGUUUGCAUAUUUUGUUUAGCACCUUUAGGAUUGACAAAACCUUCUGUUGCAUCAUAUACAACUCUUCUUUAAUAAAUCCAUUAAGGAAUGCAGUUUUGUUUAUCCAUUUGCCAGAUUUCAUAAAAUGCGGCAAUUGCUAAACAUGAUUCGGACAGACUUAAGCAUCGCUGCGAGUGAGAAAAUCUCAUCGUAGUCAACACCUUGAACUUUGUCAAAAACCUUUUUUCGACAAGUCUAGCUUUGUAGAUAGUAACACUACUAUCAACGUCUGUCUUUCUCUUGAAGAUCCAUUUAAUCUCAAUGGCUCGCCGAUCAUUGGGCAAGUCAAUCAAAGUCCACACUUUGUUCUCAUAUAUGGAUCUUAUCUCAGAUUUCAUGGCCUCAAGCCAUUUCGCGGAAUCUGGGCUCAUCAUCGUUGCCUCAUAGUUCGUAGGUUCGUCAUGGUCUAGUAACAUAACCUCCAGAACAGGAUUUACCGUACCACUCUGGUGCGGAUCUUACUCUGGUUGACCUACGAGGUUCAGUAAUAACUUGAUCUGAAGUUCCAUGAUCAUCAUCAUUAACUUCCUCACUAAUUGGUGCAGGAGUCACAGGAACAGAUUUCUGUGAUGAACUACUUUCCAAUAAGGGAGCAGGUACAGUUACCUCAUCAAGUUCUACUUACCUCCCACUCACUUCUUUCGAGAGAAACUCCUUCACUAGAAAGGAUCCAUUCUUAGCAACGAAUGUCUUGCCUUCGGAUCUGUGAUAGAAGAUGUACCCAACUAUCUCCUUUGGGUAUCCUAUGAAGACACAUUUCUCCGAUUUGGGUUUGAGCUUAUCAGGAUGAAACCUUUUCACAUAAGCAUCGCAACCCCAAACUUUAAGAAACGACAACUUUGGUUUCUUGCCAAACCACAGUUCAUAAGAUGUCGUCUCAACGGAUUUAGAUGGUACCCUAUUUAACGUGAAUGCAGCUGUCUCUAAUGCAUAACCCCAAAACGAUAGUGGUAGAUCGGUAAGAGACAUCAUAUAUCGCACCAUAUCUAAUAAAGUACGGUUACGAUGUUCGGACACACCAUUACAUCGUGGUGUUCCAGGUGGCGUGAGUAGUGAAACUAUUUCACAUUGUUUUAACUGAAGGCCAAACUCGUAACUCAAAUACUCUUCUCCACGAUCAGAUCGUAGAAACUUUAUUUGCUUGUUACGAUGAUUUUCCGCUUCACUCUGAAAUUAUAUGAACUUUUCAAAUGUUUCAGACUUCUGUUUCAUUAAGUAGAUAUACCCAUAUCUUCUCAAAUCAUCUGUGAAGGUCAUAAAAUAAUGAUACCUGCUACGAGCCUCAAUAUUCAUCGGACCACAUACAUCUGUAUGUAUGAUUUCCAACAAAUCUGUUGCUCUCUCCAUAGUUCCGGAGAACGGCGUUUUAGUCAUCUUGCCCAUGAGGCACGGUUCGCAAGCAUCAAGUGAUUCAUAAUCAAGUGAUUCCAAAAUCCCAUCAGUAUGGAGUUUCUUCAUGCGCUUUACAUCAAUAUGACCUAAACGGCAGUGCCACAAAUAAGUUGCACUAUGAUUAUUAACUUUAUAUCUUUUGGCUUCAAUAUUAUGAAUAUGUGUAUCACUAUGAUCGAGAUCCAACAAACCUUUUUCGUUGGUGUGUAUGACCAUAGAAGGUUUUUAUUCAUGUAAAUAGAACAACUAUUGUUCUCUAACUUAAAUGAAUAACCGUAUUGCAGUAAACAUGAUCAAAUCAUAUUCAUGCUCAACGCAAACACCAAAUAACACUUAUUUAGUUUCAACACUAAUCCCGAAAGUACAGGGAGUGUGCGAUGAUGAUCAUAUCAAUCUUGGAACUACUUCCAACACACAUCGUCACCUCGCCUUUUACUAGUCUCUGUUUAUUCUGCAACUCCUGAUUCGAGUUACUACUUUAGCAACUGAACCAGUAUCAAAUACCGAGGGGUUGCUAUAAACACUAGUAAAGUACACAUCAAUAACAUGUAUAUCCAAUAUACCUUUGUUCACUUUGCCAUCCUUCUUAUCCACCAAAUAGUUGGGGUAGUUCCGCUUCCAGUGACCAGUCCCUUUGCAGUAGAAGCACUUAGUCUCAGGCUUAGGACCAGACUUAGGCUUCUUCACUUGAGCAGCAACUUGCUUGCCGUUCUUCUUGAAGUUCCCCUUCUUCCCUUUGCCCUUUUCUUGAAACUAGUGGUCUCGUCAACCAUCAACACUUCAUGUUUUUCUUGAUUUCUACCUUCGUCGAUUUCAGCAUCACGAAGAGCUCGGGAAUUACUUUCGUCAUCCCUUGCAUACUGUAGUUCAUCACGAAGUUCUACUAACUUGGUGAUGGUGACUAGAGAAUUCUGUCAAUCACUAUUUUAUCUGGAAGAUUAACUCCCACUUGAUUCAAGCGAUUGUAGUACCCAGACAAUCUGAGCACAUGCUCACUAGUUGAGCGAUUCUCCUCCAUCUUUUAGCUAUAGAACUUGUUGAAGACUUCAUAUCUCUCAACUCGGGUAUUUGCUUGAAAUAUUAACUUCAACUCCUGGAACAUCUCAUAUGGUCCAUGACGUUCAAAAUGUCUUUGAAGUCCCGAUUCUAAGCCGUUUAAGCAUGGUGCACUAAACUAUCAAGUAGUCAUCAUAUUUGAGCUAGCCAAACGUUCAUAACGUCUGCAUCUGCUCCUGCAAUAGGUCUGUCACCUAGCGGUGCAUCAAGGACAUAAUUCUUCUGUGCAGCAAUGAGGAUAAUCCUCAGAUCAUGGAUCCAAUCCGCAUCUUUGCUACUAACAUCUUUCAACAUAAUUUUCUCUAGGAAUCAUAUCAAAAAUAAGCACAGGGAAGCAACAACGCGAGCUAUUGAUCUACAACAUAAUUUGCAAAAAUACUAUCAGGACUAAGUUCAUGAUAAAUUUAAGUUCAAUUAAUCAUAUUACUUAAGAACUCCCACUUAGAUAGACAUCCCUCUAAUCAUCUAAGUGAUUACGUGAUCCAAAUCAACUAAACCAUGUCCGAUUAACACGUGAGAUGGAGUAGUUUCAAUGGUGAACAUCACUAUGUUGAUCAUAUCUACUAUAUGAUUCACGCUCGACCUUUCGGUCUCUGUGUUCCGAGGCCAUAUCUGUAUAUGCUAGGCUCGUCAAGUUUAACCUGAGUAUUCCGCGUGUGCAACUGUUUUGCACCCGUUGUAUUUGAACGUAGAGCCUAUCACACCCGAUUAACACGUGGUGUCUCAGCACGAAGAACUUUUGCAACGGUGCAUACUCAGGGAGAACACUUUUAUCUUGAAAUUUUAGUGAGAGAUCAUCUUAUAAUGCUACCGUCAAUCAAAGCAAGAUAAGAUGCAUAAAGGAUUAACAUCACAUGCAAUCAAUAUAAGUGAUAUGAUAUGGCCAUCAUCAUCUUGUGCUUGUGAUCUCCAUCUCCGAAGCACCGUCAUGAUCACCAUCGUCACCGGCGCGACACUUUGAUCUCCAUCGUAGUAUUGUUCUCGUCUCGCCAACUUAUUGCUUUUACGACUAUCGCUACCGCUUAGUGAUAAAGUAAAACUAUUACAUGGCGAUUGCAUCUCAUACAAUAAAGCGACAACCAUAUGGCUCCUGCCAAUUGCUGAUAACUCGGUUACAAAAACAUGAUCAUCUCAUACAAAAAAUUAUAUCACAUCAUGUCUUGACCAUAUCACAUCACAACAUGCCCUGCAAAAACAAGUUAGACGUCCUCUACUUUGUUGUUGCAUGUUUUACGUGGCUGCUAUGGGCUUAGCAAGAACCGUUCUUACCUACGCAUCAAAACCACAAUGAUAGUUUGUCAAGUUGGUGCUGUUUUAACCUUCGCAAGGACCGGGCGUAGGCACACUUGGUUCAACUAAAGUGAGAGAGACAGACACCCGCCGGUCACCUUUAAGCAACGAGUGCUCGCAAACGGUGAAACCAGUCUCGCGUAAGCGUACGCGUAAUGUCGGUCCGGGCCGCUUCAUCUCACAAUACCGCUGAACCAAAGCAUGACAUGCUGGUAAGCAGUAUGACUUAUAUCGCCCACAACUCACUUGUGUUCUACUCGUGCAUAGCAUCAACGCAUAAAACCAGGCUCGGAUGCCACUGUUGGGUAACGUAGUAAUUUCAAAAAAAUUCCUACGCACACGCAAGAUCAUGGUGAUGCAUAGCAACGAGAGGGGAGAGUGUUGUCCACGUACCCUCGUAGACCGACAGCAGAAGCGUUAUCACAACGCGGUUGAUGUAGUCGUACGUCUUCACGAUCCGACCGAUCAAGUACCGAACGCACGGCACCUCCGAAGUUCUACACACGUUCAGCUCGAUGACGUCCCUCGAACUCCGAUCCAGCCGAGUGUUGAGGGAGAGUUUCGUCAGCACGACGGCGUGGUGACGAUGAUGAUGUUCCACCGACGCAGGGCUUCGCCUAAGCUCCGCAACGGUAUUAUCGAGGUGUAAUAUGGUGGAGGGGGGCACCGCACACGGCUAAAAUAUCGUAUAUCAAGUGUGUGUCCAUGGGGUGCCCCCUGCCCCCGUAUAUAAAGGAGCAAGGGAGGAGGAGGCCGGCCCUAGGAGGGGGCGCGCCAAGUGUGGAGUCCUACUAGGACUCCCUAGUCCUAGUAGGAUUCCACCUCCCAUAUGGAAUAGGAAAAGAGGAAGGGAAAAGGAGAAGGAAGGAAGGGGGCGCCCCCCUUCCCUAGUCCAAUUCGGACCAGACCAAGGGGAGGGGUGCGGCCACCCUUGAGGCCCUUUUCCUUCUUUCCCGUAUGGCCCAAUAAGGCCCAAUACGUAUUCCCGUAACUCUCCGGUACUCCGAAAAAUACCCGAAUCACUCGGAACCUUUCCGAAGUCCGAAUAUAGUUGUCCAAUAUAUCGAUCUUUACGUCUCGGCCAUUUCGAGACUCCUCGUCAUGUCCCCGAUCUCAUCCGGGACUCCGAACUCCUUCGGUACAUCAAAACUCAAUAAAACUGUCAUCGUAACUUUAAGCGUGCGGACCCUUUGGGUUCGAGAACUAUGUACACAUGACCGAGACACCUCUCCGGUCAAUAACCAAUAGCGGGACCUGGAUGCCCAUAUUGGAUCCCACAUAUUCUACGAAGAUCUUUAUCGGUCAGACCGCAUAACAACAUACGUUGUUCCCUUUGUCAUCGGUAUGUUACUUGCCCGAGAUUCGAUCGUCGGUAUCUCGAUACCUAGUUCAAUCUCGUUACCGGCAAGUCUCUUUACUCGUUCCAUAAUACAUCAUCCCGCAACUAACUCAUUAGUCACAAUGCUUGCAAGGCUUAUAGUGAUGUGCAUUACCGAGUGGGCCCAGAGAUACCUCUCCGACAAUCGGAGUGACAAAUCCUAAUCUCGAAAUACGCCAACCCAACAAGUACCUUUGGAGACACCUGUAGAGCACCUUUAUAAUCACCCAGUUACGUUGUGACGUUUGGUAGCACACAAAGUGUUCCUCCGGUAAACGGGAGUUGCAUAAUCUCAUAGUCAUAGGAACAUGUAUAAGUCAUGAAGAAAGCAAUAGCAACAUACUAAACGAUCGGGUGCUAAGCUAACGGAAUGGGUCAAGUCAAUCACGUCAUUCUCCUAAUGAGGUGAUCUCGUUAAUCAAAUGACAACUCAUGUCUAUGGCUAGGAAACAUAACCAUCUUUGAUUAACGAGCUAGUCUGGUAGAGGCAUACUAGUGACACUCUUGUUUGUCUAUGUAUUCACACAUGUAUUAUGUUUCCGGUUAAUACAAUUCUAGCAUGAAUAAUAAACAUUUAUCAUGAUAUAAGGAAAUAUAUAAUACUUUAUUAUUGCCUCUAGGGCAUAUUUCCUUCAAUCGGGGCGCCGCCACCGCCCGAUCCGAGGAUCAGAGUUUCCCCUGGAGCAACACGACGGAAAAUGAGAGCCGCGACAACGCCUUGAAGAAGGGAACGAGCUUCGCUGCCGCCGGUCCGUCCGAAGAUAGAACAAAAUUUCACCCCGGGCAACACUCACCGUCACCGAACGCCACACACCCCUACCAUGCCGCUCACACGGCCAUGGCCACUGGGCAGCACCGAGCCACGGGCUCUGCCCAUGAGCACCGCGCUACCACCACCAGGGCCGCCGCCCCGGCAUCCAAUACUUUGACACCACCUCACUCGAGACCCGCCGCUACCCCAAUCAAAGAGACGAGCGGAAAGGCCCUGCCUUUCGCACCCCUGGGGCCCCCAAGCGCGGGGACCCAAAAGGUCGGCCAAAACCGGCCUCCAUUGACCAUUCCUACUGCCAGGCGCGAGACGAGCUCAGUCCUGCAACACCGGACGCGAACGAGCGAUGGACCACAACUGGAAGAGGGCCAACCCUUCGACGAAAGUAGCGCCCACACGACAAGGAGAGGGAUCGAAGGCCGACACAAGCCGCCUGCGGACGAGCCGACGCCGGAACAUGCCAGCCGACGCGACAGCCGGCCUGCCAAGCUGCCGUGGAGACACCCACGGCCGGAGCAGCAGGCCGCCGGGCCACUGCCCAACCCACGCCGCCCGGCGAGCUCCAAGCUGCAUCAAGGUUUGAGUUCAAUCCCCGUGAAUGUAAUGUGCCUGCACAUUUAUUAGCUACGCAUGGUGCGAGGAUUGAAUCAAGAAGUCAACGUGUUUGGCUCAUUGAUUUGCCCUCUGAUGUAACUGGUGCUGUGGCUGUUUGGCUCACUGAUUUGCCCUCUGAUGUAAUUGGUGCUGUGGCCGGCGAUUUAGCAGCGUCCGCUAGUUGAAUAGAAUGCACGGUGUUCCUUGUCAAAUAAAUAAAUCAGAGGACAAAACUGGUAAAUAGGAGGAUAACUCCAGCCUUUGCAUCGAUUGAUGCAGCUAGGCAACUGAUGAGUAUACAAUCGAAUCCAUUGCCACGAAAUUCCAGCAUUGAUCCAAACAUGUCGCUAGAUGAUCAUGCAUGCUCAAUUCAUACUAGGAAACGUAGAACACUACAUCUUUGAGGCCGGUAUACAUCAGCGAUCCAUCCACCCCCAACUUAGCUCAACGUUUGUUCAACUCAAACAUGUCCAUUAUUAAUUCUACGACUCGAUGGACCCUUGCAAUUCAGAAACAUCUUAUCACGUUCUUCCAUCAGAUGAAUAACACAAAGCGACCGAAGAGCACCGGCGCAAAAUAUCACGUGCAGCUGCUCGAUCUCACACAUGUCCUGGCGAUCCGUUCAUUCCCAUGAUCUUUUCCUGUGGAAAGUCCACUCGGAUGGGUUGAUGGUCGAUUUGCCGCUGGAGGCGACAAGGUCGUAGGGCGAGUCCUCCCCGAACUCGGUCGGCAUCGCCUUCCAGUGUAGGCAUGGAUCCCAUUCCGCCUCCUUGAGGAUCCUCAGGAUCUCUUCCACAACUAUAUUGCUCCCCUCUUCCGACAAAUGC